AAGUCGUAACAAGGUUUCCGUAGGUGAACCUGCGGAAGGAUCAUUAGUGAUUGCCCUAGUGGCUUAAAACUAUAUCCAUUUUACACCUGUGAACCGUUUGAUUGACACUCUGUGUUGAUUUUACAAACAAUAUGUAAAGAAAGUCAAGUUAUUAUAACAAAAGAUAA
rnacentral:misc_RNA from 1 species